GACGAACGCUGGCGGCGUGCUUAACACAUGCAAGUCGAACGAAAAGGCCCUACUUGUGUGGGCGGCUCGAGGGGCUAACGGGUGAGUAACACGUGAGUAACCUACGCUUGGCUUUGGGAUAUCUUCAGGGGACUUGGGCGAAUGCCGUGUAUGAUCUUCCGCUGCAUGGUGAGGGUUGGAAAUUGUCGGCUGGUGGGGAUGGACUCGCGGCGUAUCAGCUUGUUGUUGGGGUAGUGACUUACCAGGGCUUUGACGGGUAGCCGGCCUGAGCGGGUGACCGGCCCCGUUGGGACUGAGCUGCGGCCCAGACUCCUCUGGGAGGCAAGGGUGGGGAGUAUUGCAUAAUGGGAGGAAGCAUGAUGUAGCAACGCCGCGUGGGGGAUGCCGGCAUUUGGGUUGUAAACCGCUUUCGCCUGUGACGAAGAGUGAGUGACGGUACUGGGUAAAGAAGCACCGGCUAACUACGUG
rnacentral:rRNA from 1 species